UGUCUGUACGCUAUACGCCUUUGUUGUCGUUGCUUUAUUGAUAAUUAUUACGCAUGAGAUUCCUACGCAAUUUCGUAAGCCAACCACAUUACGUUUUUACAAAAACAAAAAUCAUUUCGUCCCUUAGUUUGGUGGCGAUAGAUUAGUCAAAUAUUAUUGUUAGUUAUUUAUUAACGGACAAUUCAUGAGAACCUAAUUCCCAAAGGCUCGGUUGGAAAAUAAUACCAAAUGAAAAUGCAUACUAAAUUUGAGAUGACAAACUACAAAAAGUUUAAACUGAACUAUUGUUAUGGUAAGUAUAAUAUUUUUUUGUAUUUUUCGUUAUCAUUUUAUCGCCAUAAUAAUUUUUACAAGUUUUCAGAAUUUUUAAAAAUUCUGUUUGGACUUGAAAUAAAAAGUUGCAAGUUUGGUUCAAUUUUAUUUGAUUAAAAUUAGAUCAGUUUUCCAAAUCAGGUGCAAUGGAGGUGGUUGUAAAUAUAUCGACGGUGGUGUAGGUGGGAGCUGAAAUUUGAGCUGCCGCUUGACAAAGAGUUUUUACUGUCUACAAUGGAGUCGGUAUUCAUGUGGUGUGCUUAUCUGCCGCCUACCUACCGUAAAAUGCCACCUACCUACCUAAUACUGUGCGAAUGUAUUUAUAUACCCAACAAAGAAUACUCCUACCUAUCGACUGUAUAUUAGUUAUAACUUAUUAAACUAAAACUUACUUAAUGUAUUGCUGAUUAUCAUAAUUUAU